UGGGGAAUCUUGCGCAAUGGGCGAAAGCCUGACGCAGCCAUGCCGCGUGAGUGAUGAAGGCCUUAGGGUUGUAAAACUCUUUCACCGGGGACGAUAAUGACGGUACCCGGAGAAGAAGCCCCGGCUAACUUCGUGCCAGCAGCCGCGGUAAUACGAAGGGGGCUAGCGUUGCUCGGAAUUACUGGGCGUAAAGGGCGCGUAGGCGGAUCAGCAAGUUGGGGGUGAAAGCCCGGGGCUCAACCUCGGAAUUGCCUUCAAAACUGCUGAUCUAGAGUACGGGAGAGGUGUGUGGAACUCCGAGUGUAGAGGUGAAAUUCGUAGAUAUUCGGAAGAACACCAGUGGCGAAGGCGACACACUGGCCCGUUACUGACGCUGAGGCGCGAAAGCGUGGGGAGCAAACAGGAUUAGAUACCCUGGUAGUCCACGCUGUAAAACGAUGAUUGCUAGUUGUCGGCAGGAUUGCCCUGUCGGUGACGCCAGCUAACGCAUUAAGCAAUCCGCCUGGGGAGUACGGUCGCAAGGAUUAAAAA
rnacentral:rRNA from 1 species